UACAGAGGGUGCGAGCGUUAAUCGGAAUGACUGGGCGUAAAGGGUGCGUAGGUGGUAGAUUAAGUGUGUUGUGAAAUCCCCGGGCUUAACCUGGGAAUGGCAACGCAUACUGGUCAACUGGAGUAGGUGAGAGGCGUGUGGAAUUUCCGGUGUAGCGGUGAAAUGCGUAGAGAUCGGAAAGAACACCAGUGGCGAAGGCGGCACGCUGGCACCAUACUGACACUGAGGCACGAAAGCGUGGGGAUCAAACAGG
rnacentral:rRNA from 1 species